rnacentral:rRNA from 1 species
ACGCAUAGGUCAUGUGCCUCUUAGUUUGGGAUAGCCAUUGGAAGCGAUGAUUAAUACCAGAUACUCCCUACGGGGGAAAGAUUUAUCGCUAAGAGAUCAGCCUAUGUCCUAUCAGCUUGUUGGUAAGGUAAUGGCUUACCGAGGCUAUGACGGGUAUCCGGCCUGAGAGGGUGAAACGGACACGCUGGAAACUGAGGCACGGUCCAGAACUCCUACGGGAGGCAGCAGUAGGGAAAUAUUGCUCAAUGGGGGAAACCCUAGAAGCAGCAACGCCGCGUGGAGGAUGAAGGUUUUAGGAUUGUAAACUCCUUUUGUUAGAGAAGAUAAUGACGGUAUCUCAG